CAUUGGUCGCGAUGAGCAGAAGAUUUCUUUAUAAAUAAAGUGAUGUGUAGAUAUAUGCGGCAAACGCGAACGACGCGAACAGUUAUAGGCAUUUAAAGGAAAGUUGUUCUCAAGUAAGCAGAACAGAGCCAUGAAAUUAUUCUUUGGAACCUUGAUUGUCGCGACAUAUAUUAGCGCACAUUGGUGUGCUUCAAAUGCGAACUCUCUCAAGAUAGAAAAUGGCAAGUGCUAUUAUCAAGGGCAAGUUCUUCAGAAUGGUCAACAAUAUGAAAGUCGAUGCCCAUGUGAGCAAUGGAAAUGUGACGCACCUAGAUCUACAGUAAGAGUCACUGGAUGUACACCAUACGAAGCCUCACUGUACGGUUACGAUUUGCCCUACCCAGCCUGCUGCGGAAAAGUUUACCGCUGAAAUCGUUUGACGAGCAAUCAUUGCUGGGAAGACUGUAAUUAAAUAAAGAGCUCGUACACUUGACA